rnacentral:lncRNA from 1 species
UUUGAUUUAUACAGAUUUUACCCCUCUCACUAUAUAAACACACCCUACUCCUUACUACACACUUAAACUUCCAACCUUUUGAUAUAAAGUCUAUUGUGUGUAUGUGUAUAUAUUUAUGUAGACACCAUAGAGAGCGAAAAGUUCAAAAAUUUCCUGUGUUUUAUGUUAGGGCACUAAAUAUGACGUCACUGAGAUUCUCAAGGUUAAUGGAGAUGGCUGUAGAGACUUAAUUUACUAUAUAACCCUUACCGUCAACAAUGAUGUGGAGGAAUAUUUUCAAGUUAAGGUGGUGGAAUGUCUAUAUAAAUCUUUGAAGUUCCCAGUGUCAGGCCAAGGGUAAUAAG